rnacentral:rRNA from 1 species
GAAAUGCGGAGCUACCAUGCAAGUCGAGCGGUAACAGAUCCAGCUUGCUGGAUGCUGACGAGCGGCGGACGGGUGAGUAAUGCAUAGGAAUCUGCCCGAUAGUGGGGGAUAACCUGGGGAAACCCAGGCUAAUACCGCAUACGUCCUACGGGAGAAAGGGGGCUUCGGCUCCCGCUAUCGGAUGAGCCUAUGUCGGAUUAGCUAGUUGGUGAGGUAACGGCUCACCAAGGCCACGAUCCGUAGCUGGUCUGAGAGGAUGAUCAGCCACAUCGGGACUGAGACACGGCCCGAACUCCUACGGGAGGCAGCAGUGGGGAAUAUUGGACAAUGGGGGGAACCCUGAUCCAGCCAUGCCGCGUGUGUGAAGAAGGCCCUCGGGUUGUAAAGCACUUUCAGCGAGGAAGAACGCCUAGCGGUUAAUACCCGCUAGGAAAGACAUCACUCGCAGAAGAAGCACCGGCUAACUCCGUGCCAGCAGCCGCGGUAAUACGGAGGGUGCAAGCGUUAAUCGGAAUUACUGGGCGUAAAGCGCGCGUAGGUGGCUUGAUAAGCCGGUUGUGAAAGCCCCGGGCUCAACCUGGGAACGGCAUCCGGAACUGUCAAGCUAGAGUGCAGGAGAGGAAGGUAGAAUUCCCGGUGUAGCGGUGAAAUGCGUAGAGAUCGGGAGGAAUACCAGUGGCGAAGGCGGCCUUCUGGACUGACACUGACACUGAGGUGCGAAAGCGUGGGUAGCAAACAGGAUUAGAACCU